GGUUUAUUCGCAACUCUUACAGAAAUGGCAGCAGCAAGCCAUUGCUUGCAAACAGCAGAAGCAAGGAUAUUUUCCUUCAAGUUUAACCGGCUGAGAAUCUGUUCUAGAAUAUCAACCGGCACACAAAACAAUGAGUUUUGCUCAUCAGAUUCUUCACGCUCCUCACUUGAAGCAGCACCAUUAUUUGGAGCUGUCGCAGCCAAUGACUUCAUUUUUCUUCUUUUUCUUCCAGCCAUGGCUGCAAGAACUCAGCUUCGGGCGUUUCUAUCUAAGUUAAAGCAAAGCAGUAUAUGUUUU
rnacentral:misc_RNA from 1 species